rnacentral:ncRNA from 1 species
UUCUGCUCAGAGCAAAUCCGCCGAAAGGCGGUGACGCAGAGCAACGGAACUAAAAGAGCAGUAGUAAGUCAUAAGUUUUAAGUUGUAAGAAAACCUUACGACUAACGACUUACAGCUUACGACUGUUUUUAUGUUCGCCGUGCCGCCAGA